GAUGAACGCUGGCGGCGUGCCUAAUACAUGCAAGUCGAGCGAACAGACGAGGAGCUUACUCCUCUGACGUUAGCGGCGGACGGGUGAGUAACACGUGGAUAACCUACCUAUAAGACUGGGAUAACUUCGGGAAACCGGAGCUAAUACCGGAUAACAUGUUGAACCGCAUGGUUCAACAGUGAAAGACGGUCUUGCUGUCACUUAUAGAUGGAUCCGCGUCGCAUUAGCUAGUUGGUAAGGUAACGGCUUACCAAGGCAACGAUGCGUAGCCGACCUGAGAGGGUGAUCGGCCACACUGGAACUGAGACACGGUCCAGACUCAUACGGGAGGCAGCAGUAGGGAAUCUUCCGCAGUGGGCGAAAGCCUGACGGAGCAACGCCGCGUGAGUGAAGAAGGUCUUCGGAUCGUAAAACUCUGUUAUUAGGGAAGAACAAAUGUGUAAGUAACUAUGCACGUCUUGACGGUACCUAAUCAGAAAGCCACGGCUAACUACGU
rnacentral:rRNA from 1 species